rnacentral:rRNA from 1 species
UUUUAUUUGAGAGUUUGAUCCUGGCUCAGGAUGAACGCUGGCGGCGUGCCUAACACAUGCAAGUUGAGCGAUUUACUUCGGUAAAGAGCGGCGGACGGGUGAGUAACGCGUGGGUAACCUACCCUGUACACACGGAUAACAUACCGAAAGGUAUGCUAAUACGGGAUAAUAUAUUUGAGAGGCAUCUCUUGAAUAUCAAAGGUGAGCCAGUACAGGAUGGACCCGCGUCUGAUUAGCUAGUUGGUAAGGUAACGGCUUACCAAGGC